AUGGUGGUGUUAUUAUUGGUAGUUCAAAACUCAGCAAGCAGUUUGAUAAACAAAACAACUCAGCAAUGUGACACGACACUAUAUAUCUAUGAGAGAACAGAACCUCAACAUCAACGCCGCCGUUGGAUAGAAUAAAAUUACAAACCUCAACCGCCACAUCAGCAUCUAUGUAAGCUAGCUAGAGUUUGUUAUAUACACAGGGAAGGUGAGGAGGAGGAGGGUCAGGUGCCAGCAGCAGCUCAAAUCCAUCCGACUACUAGUAUAAAUGAAGAAUCUCAAGUCUUCCCUCUCCUCUCCUGUCCUCUCCCCCACCGCACCCGCUCUUCUCUAAUGUACACUUCGGUAUUCAAAAUGCUAUUACACCUUAGGGAUCUCAAUUGUGCAGCGAUAACA
rnacentral:lncRNA from 1 species